GCCUGUAUGAUAGUAGUCCCAUUCGAUUUUGGGUACUCACACAGCCGUCUUAAUUUGUAUCUGAUAUAUCACAAUUAUUGAUUUGUGUAAAUUGAACUAUCUUCACAUCCCUGGAUGAAUCUCAUUGGAUAUUGGGUCUUGCUAAGUUGCUGAGGGCCUUACUACAUUGCUGAGG